UGCGUGCGCUUCAUGUGGUACUAGCAGGAACAGAGGUCAGGUCUCAAGCCGGGCGCUCAAGGAGCAAUAGGAGACCUAUUAAAAGUUUUAGAUGAUCGAGAGUGCCCAGUGUAGGUCACCGGCUGGCCCAGGGCAAGGUGGGAUUUUUCUCCGGAUGAGAGGCACCAGGGGACCCGAGCGCCGGGGAUAUCCAGGGUGCCGGUGAUAGUGCGCAUCCACCGGGAGCAGCGGUGGGCGGCAGGCGGACGUGCUCAGGGCGCGUUCCGUCCCCUACUCAUGACAAAGCGGGUGAGGAACUCGGGAGCAAGUUUCCCCCGGGAGUCAAAAUGAUCACGUCGUUUUUCCCCUUGAAGAAACUGCGGCGAAAUGGCAAAUAUCUCCUGUUCGGUGCGAUCCUGCUGGCGGGAUUGGUGGCCGUGUACCACGAGAUGGUUGCUGCAAAAGAAUGGAGGAGUGAUAUGAGUCCAAUUACUGACGCUGACCACGUCAGCUGGAGGAGAGACGUGUUUGAAAAUAGGGCAAAAAAGGACCAUCAGCCAAACACUGUUGG